GAGCGAACGGGGAUCAGCCCAUUAAGUUAUGUGUGUUUUAGUGGAACGCUCUGGGAAGUGCGAACGUAGAGGGUGAUAUUCCCGUACACGAAAGGGCACACAUAAUGAUGACGAGUAGGGCGAGGCACGUGAAACCUUGUCUGAAUAUGGGGGGACCAUCCUCCAAGGCUAAAUACUCCUGACUGACCGAUAGUGAACCAGUACCGUGAGGGAAAGGCGAAAAGAACCCCUGUGAGGGGAGUGAAAUAGAUCCUGAAACCGCAUGCAUACAAGCAGUGGGAGCACCUUCGUGGUGUGACUGCGUACCUUUUGUAUAAUGGGUCAGCGACUUAUAUUCAGUAGCGAGGUUAACCGUAUAGGGGAGCCGUAGAGAAAUCGAGUCUUAAUAGGGCGUUUAGUUGCUGGGUAUAGACCCGAAACCAGGCGAUCUAUCCAUGAGCAGGUUGAAGGUUGGGUAACACUAACUGGAGGACCGAACCCACUGUCGUUGAAAAGCCAGGGGAUGACUUGUGGAUAGGGGUGAAAGGCUAAUCAAGCCUGGUGAUAGCUGGUUCUCCCCGAAAGCUAUUUAGGUAGCGCCUCGGACGAAUACCAUAGGGGGUAGAGCACUGUUUCGGCUAGGGGGUCAUCCCGACUUACCAAACCGAUGCAAACUCCGAAUACCUAUGAGUACUAUCCGG
rnacentral:rRNA from 1 species